UUGCAGCCCGGCUUGAGCGGAAAUCCUUUUUGUUCCGCUUCGCUCCACAAAAAGAUUGCAGCGGAAGACGGAAAUUGC
rnacentral:sRNA from 1 species